UACGUAGGGGGCUAGCGUUGUCCGGAUUUAUUGGGCGUAAAGAGCUCGUAGGCGGUUUGUCGCGUCUGCUGUGAAAACCCGAGGCUCAACCUCGGGCCUGCAGUGGGUACGGGCAGACUAGAGUGCGGUAGGGGAGAUUGGAAUUCCUGGUGUAGCGGUGGAAUGCGCAGAUAUCAGGAGGAACACCAAUGGCGAAGGCAGAUCUCUGGGCCGUAACUGACGCUGAGGAGCGAAAGCAUGGGGAGCGAACAGG
rnacentral:rRNA from 1 species